UUUCCGCCAUUCGCAAAACCGCACUUUCCCGCCAAAAUCGCAAAAAAAAAUAUUUUUUCCACCAAAAUCGCAAAAACACAUUUUCUUGGCAAAACCGUAAAAACAUGUUUUCAUGCAAAAAACCACAUUCCCGUAUUUUCCCGCCAAAACUGCAAAAUUCAUUUUCCAACAAAACCACAAAAUAACUUUUUCGUUAAAAUCGCAAAAUCAAAUUUCUCGAGUUAAAUCGUGAAUAUGUAUUUUUCGCUAAAACCACAAAAUUAUGUUUUCCACCAAAAGCAUAUUUUAAAAUAAUUAUGUUUUAGACAAUUAAUAAAAAUUGAAACGAUCAGCCCCUAACUAUGCCGUGAUUUUCAGUUGAACUAGUUUAAUCAUUUUUACUAUAGAUCUGCGAAUAUUAGCUUUAAGUUUGUUGAAUCGAGAUAUUCGUAUAUAUCUUGUGUUUAUCGUUGAAUAAUGCCUUGAAUCUGUUGGGCCUUAGUCUUUUGAGGCCCACUAGUGCUAGGGUUUUCUGGGACACAACUAUAUAUAUCUUGUGCCUCCUCUAAACCUAGUUAGCAGCCGUAGAGAAACUAUAUCUGAUCUUCUUGUAGACAGAUCUCUGUAAUU
rnacentral:lncRNA from 1 species